GCAUGGCAAUGGAUUUAUGUCAGGGUCUGUGAAGUGACUCCGUCAUAGUGUACCCCAUGCAAUAGCAAUCCGUGUCUCCGAACCAUUGGCAGGUCUGUUCCCAUAGAUCUGAUCACUGAAGUGAGUCGCACAAGA
rnacentral:snoRNA from 1 species